CGGAACCCUCCAGCAAUCUUCUCCCCUCUGCCUCCAGUGUGCCAACGAUAGGACGUCAGCGGCGAGGGCUGCGUUUGGGAAUCUUCAUUCUGCAGCGGUGGGUCCAUGGCGGAGUCUCUGCUACAAGACCAAAAGGUAGGCAUCCAAUAGACAUGGCCACCAACACGGCAACUAACAACUCCAUAUAACCCUAGCGUCCACUGUCAGCCGAACAAAUACUCCGCGUCAUCUCCACACCGAAGAGUAUCACAUAGCAAAGAAAAUGAAUACAUUCUUGAACUAAUGAUGGCGGACGAAUCACAGUGCUGAACAAAAGCAAAAACUAAGGAGUAUACCCUGGGUGAGUUCAUAUAUACAUUAUAGUGUCCCAAACCUUUCUGGGAGUGGUAACUACAUACACCCAAAAAUCUAGCACUUAUGAAUCUAAGGCGGGAGCUUUCUCAUGAGUUCCAGGGCAGCUAGGGUUCUCCUGCAAGACCCUGUUUCAAAGGAUAAAAAACAAAGAAAGGAAGAGAAAAGAAAAGAAAGAAAGAGAAAAAAAUGAAAGUAGUGGAAAGUUGAGAACCAAGCAUAUGAAGACACUGCACACCAUGGAAUUGGGGCUGGAGAGACACCUCGGUCGUGAAGUGUGUGGCCGUCCUUGCAGAGGACUGUUCAGCUCCUUAAAUCUGUGACAGAUACCAACUGCUUGGAACUCCAGCUCCAAGGGGUUUCAUGCUUCCUUUUACUGAAUCUUUUUAAAAAGUCAGGGAAUCAAUUUCACUCAGAGGGGUUAGUGGCUGAGUGAGGACAUACAGGAGACUUUUGGAAGAUGGCUUCUUUUGUUUUGUUUUGCUUUGUUUGAGAUGGGAUCUAUUGUGUCUAAGGAUGGUCUUGAACUUGGUACAUAGAUGGGGCUGGUCGAGAAUUUCUAUUCCUCCCGCCACUGUCUUCCAAGUGCUGGGAUUAUAGGUGUGCACCACAUAUCCAGCCUUUUUGUUUGUUUGUUAUUGGUUUUGUUUGGUUUAUUUCCCCCUUGAACCCAGGCUUUUAUUUGUGUGAUGAAGGCGUUAUCAACUGAUCUACACUUUCAGCUUACAUUUUUUUUUCCACACAAAGUUUCCAGGCUGGACUUGAACCUUUGACAUUGAUCUUCCUGUUUCAGUCUCCUGAAUGCUGGGAUCAAUCACCUUGACUAGUAUUUAAAAUGUACCCCUACUCUGUGUGUGUGUGUGUGUAGGGGUGUAGUGUAUUCAUGUGUGUGUGUGUGUGUGUGUAGGGGUGUAGUGUAUUCGUGUGUGUGUGUGUGUGUAGGGGUGUAGCGUAUUCGUGUGUGUGUGUGUGUAGGGGUGUAGCGUAUUCGUGUGUGUGUGUGUAGGGGUGUAGUGUAUUCGUGUGUGUGUGUGUAGGGGUGUAGUGUAUUUGUGUGUGUGUAGGGGUGUAGUGUAUUCAUGUGUGUGUGUGUAGGGGUGUAGUGUAUUCGUGUGUGUGUGUGUAGGGGUGUAGUGUAUUCAUGUGUGUGUGUGUGUGUGUGUGUGUGUGUAGGGGUGUAGUGUAUUCGUGUGUGAGAGGGUGUCCACAGAGGUCAGAAGCAUUGGAUUCUUCUGGAGCCGCAGUCGUGCAUGGAGUUUAUUUAGCUGCCUGAUAUAUUUGCUGGGAAUUAAUCUUGGACUUAGGAGUCUAUUUUCUUAAACACUGAACCAUUUUUUCAGGUCCCAUCCCAGAUUUAUUUUUAAGUGCAAGUAAAAUUCAUACAACAUAAAUUUAACAUGCUCUGUUUUUGAGUUUCAGAGCUGGUUGGGUGUGUUCUGUUGUGAAAUCUCUUUGAGGCGAGUUUUGGGGUGCUGUCCAGUCAGUAUCUUUUACAUUUUGAUAAAUGUUUACUUGAGAAAGAGGUGGGACCGUCAAGAUGGAUCUGUGGAUACAAGGUAGUUCCCCGAGACCCACAUGGCAGAAGGGGAUAACAGACUCUCACAAGUUGUCCUCAGACCCCUCCACUCUCAUGCACACGUGAUACGUGCAACAUACAAAAUAAAUAAAGUGCAAUGCAAAUUGAACAGAGAAGGAGUGGGUGGAUGCUCUGGCAGGAGUGAGUCAGCACUGUUCUCACCCAGGUUGGACUGCUGGCCAUCUCCUUUCUCGCUGUGACCUCAGACAAGUCAUUUCCUCUCCCCGCGCUUCCUCAUUUUUAAAGGAUGAUGGUAUCGGUCUCAAAAAGCUUCCAUUCAAGGGCUAGAGAGAUGGCUCUGAGGUUAAGCAAGAAAUGUCAUGGCAUGGGUGGCUCACAUCCAUCUGUAUGUCCAGCUCUGAGGUACCUGAAACCCUGUUCUAGCCGCUGAGUGUCUUUACACUGCACACUGCAAGGGUCUACAUCCAUACACAGACAUACACGAACAUUUCUGAAAGCUCACGUUGGAUACAUGUUUUCUGAGUGCCUACUGUACACUAGAUGAAAUGGAGGAAGAGAUUAAAUAAAUGUGAUUUCUGUCCUCCUGUUACCGUCUGGGGAGGGGGACAUGUCCUGAAUUCAGUGGGACAUUUUGAAUUUGUGUGGGAGACUGGGACAAGAUAGAUACACUGGAUGAAGGAUGACCAGUUGAGCGGAAAUGCCAUUCCUCUCAGGUUGGAAAAACCAGGGAAGACUUCUCCAGGGAGAUAACCUUUGCAAACCGAAGCAUGAGAAGAAAACAGAUGAUUGUGCCAGGUAGAAGGAAUGCUUUGCACAAAGGCAACGGCAACGAUAACCCGUGGGGCAAUGCACACAUGUAAUUCCCAGGACUCGGAAGACUAGUGCAAGAAAAUUGGUGUCACAUAUUUGAUGCCAACCUGGGAUGUAUAGUGGACUGUGUAUGUGGGGAGUUGGAGUCAUGAAGUGGAUAGGGUAAGCUGACUCCCUGGGUAUAGGGUGCGGGCAGUCACUAAAGGCCCAGGUUCAAAGGUUCAAAGCUCUCCUUACUAUGGUUGUCCUGAAACUCUUGCUUUGAAAAUGGGACGUUGCAAGGGAGAUGGCUCAGUGGUUAAGAGCACCGACUGCUCUUCCAGAGGUCCUGAGUUCAAAUUCCAGGAACCACAUGGUAACUCACAACCAUCUGUCAUGGGAUCUGAUGCUCUCUUCUGGUGUGUCUGAAGACAGCGACAGUGUACUUAUAUAUAAUAAACAAACACAUCUUUUUUUAAAAAAGAAAAAUGAACAUGCCUUUCAUCACAGCACUGUGAAGGCAGUGGCAGGAGGAAGCCAGCCUGGUCUACAAAGAGAGUUCCAGGACAGCCAGGGUUACACAGAGGAACCCUGCCACAAAAUCUGCCCCACCCCCACAAUCCUAUUAUGAAAAAUCUUAUUUUUCCCCUUUGGAAUUUCAUUUUGGAGGCUAGAAGUAUGCGUCAUUGUUAGGGCACUUGUCUCACAUGCACAGGGCCCUGGUUUAGCCCUGUACCGCAUGAACCUAGGUGUGGUGGCACAGGCCUGUAAUCUCAGUUGGUAGGGAGAAGCUCGGAGCUCAGAAAUUGGAGAUCCUCUGGAGCUACAUAGCGUGUUCAAGGCCAGCUUGGGCGACGUAAGCCCUACCCAAUAAAACAACGCCUCCUCCCCUGUAUAUUUCUACUUAUUUUAUUUGCCACAUCAUUAUACACUGGCUCUAUUCUCAGAUCUCUGCUUUUUCUUCCUCCUUUGCUAGGAAUGAAACUCCACACCAUAAACAUACCAUGAAAGUGGUCUACCACUGAGCCAUACCUGUGGCCCUAAAUAAUUAUUUUCUUCAUUUUAUUUUCUUUUAAUUUUUCUUCAUUCUAUUUAUUAUUCUUAUGUGUAACAGGUGUUUUGUUUCUUUGUCUCUCUGUAUGUGUUUAUGUGUACCACACAUGUGCCUGAUGCCCAUGGAGAUCAAAAAAAGGCACUGAGACCAGUGAUACAGACAAAGAUGGUUCUGACACACUAUGGGGGUGCUGGGAACUGAACCCAGAUACUCUGAAAGAGCAGUAAGUAUUCUUUUUGUUUUCUUUUUAAAAUUUAUUUAUGUGAGUAUGCUGUUGCUGUCUUCAGACACACCAGAAGAGGGCAUCGGAUCCCAUUACAGAUGGUCGUGAGCCACCAUGUGGUUGCUGGGAAUUGAACUCGACAUCUAGGAAGAGCAGUCAGUGCUCUUAGCUGCUGAGCCAUCUGUCCAGCCCCAAGCAGUAAGUAUUCUUAACAAUUGAGCCACAGCUCUAGGUCAAUAUGUGUGUGUGUGUGUGUGUGUGUAUAAAUUGUGUAUAUAUAUAUAUAUAUAUUGUAUACAUAUAUAAAAUAAACAUACACAUAUAUACAUAAAUAUGUAUACACACACAAGACACACAUACACAUACACAGACAUACACACACACAGACACACACACAUACACACAGACAGACAUACACAGACACAUACACACAUACACAGACAGACAUACACACACAUACAGACACACACAGACAUACACACACAGACAUACACACACAUACACGCACACAUACAGAGACACAGAGAGACACACACAUACACAUACACAGACACAGACAGACAUACACAUACACAUACAUACAGAGACACAGAGAGACACACAUACACAUACACAGACAUACACACACACAGACACACACACACAUA